rnacentral:rRNA from 1 species
GACACGACUCUUGACAAUGGAUAUCUUGGCUCUUGCAUCGAUGAAGAGCGCAGCGAAAUGCGAUACGUGGUGCGAAUUGCAGAAUCCCGCGAAC